AAUGUAUUAAAAACCAUGUAUAUAAAUAAUGCACUUUACAAUGAAAGUUUGUCAGACCUGUUGUGUGAAUUCAUGGAUGACAUUAUCUAAGUCUGGACUGCAACUGCCACAGUUACUCUGGCUCCUUAUCAAUGAGAUUCAGGACUUCUCCUUGAACAUGAUAGUCAUGUGCUGAAGAUUGUAUCAUGGAAAUGAGUUGACUUUAAUUUGUAUAUGAGCAGUUUGUGAUCUGUUCCACGGUCAUAUCUUUGCUAUUAUAACUGAGCUGUUCACCUCCUUGCACCAAUAAUAUGAUCAGUUUGGUUUCUGUCUCUCCAUCUGGCAGUAUCCACCUUUAUAGGCAUUGUUUUGUCAUAAUUAUAGAAAUCAUUUUGAUUGUUUGAAUAAUGUGUUAGGAAUGAAUAAACAAUUGGAUUGGUAUAAAUUA